rnacentral:rRNA from 1 species
UGGGGAAUAUUGGACAAUGGGCGAAAGCCUGAUCCAGCCAUGCCGCGUGUGUGAAGAAGGUCUUCGGAUUGUAAAGCACUUUAAGUUGGGAGGAAGGGUUGUAGAUUAAUACUCUGCAAUUUUGACGUUACCGACAGAAUAAGCACCGGCUAACUCUGUGCCAGCAGCCGCGGUAAUACAGAGGGUGCAAGCGUUAAUCGGAAUUACUGGGCGUAAAGCGCGCGUAGGUGGUUUGUUAAGUUGGAUGUGAAAUCCCCGGGCUCAACCUUGGAACUGCAUUCAAAACUGACUGACUAGAAUAUGUUAGAGGGUGGUGGAAUUUCCUGUGUAGCGGUGAAAUGCGUAGAUAUAGGAAGGAACACCAGUGGCGAAGGCGACCACCUGGACUAAUACUGACACUGAGGUGCGAAAGCGUGGGGAGCAAACAGG